UGGGGAAUCUUGCGCAAUGGACGAAAGUCUGACGCAGCCAUGCCGCGUGAGUGAUGAAGGCCCUCGGGUCGUAAAGCUCUGUCCAAGGGGACGAAAAAGGUGUUGGUGAACAUCCAGCAUUUCUGACGGUACCCUUGAAGAAAGCACCGGCUAACUCCGUGCCAGCAGCCGCGGUAAUACGGAGGGUGCAAGCGUUGUUCGGAAUUACUGGGCGUAAAGCGCGCGCAGGCGGCAUUAUAAGUCGGGUGUG
rnacentral:rRNA from 1 species